rnacentral:rRNA from 2 species
AUGCAAGUCGAACGAACUCUGGUAUUGAUUGGUGCUUGCAUCAUGAUUUACAUUUGAGUGAGUGGCGAACUGGUGAGUAACACGUGGGAAACCUGCCCAGAAGCGGGGGAUAACACCUGGAAACAGAUGCUAAUACCGCAUAACAACUUGGACCGCAUGGUCCGAGCUUGAAAGAUGGCUUCGGCUAUCACUUUUGGAUGGUCCCGCGGCGUAUUAGCUAGAUGGUGGGGUAACGGCUCACCAUGGCAAUGAUACGUAGCCGACCUGAGAGGGUAAUCGGCCACAUUGGGACUGAGACACGGCCCAAACUCCUACGGGAGGCAGCAGUAGGGAAUCUUCCACAAUGGACGAAAGUCUGAUGGAGCAACGCCGCGUGAGUGAAGAAGGGUUUCGGCUCGUAAAACUCUGUUGUUAAAGAAGAACAUAUCUGAGAGUAACUGUUCAGGUAUUGACGGUAUUUAACCAGAAAGCCACGGCUAACUACGUGCCAGCAGCCGCGGUAAUACGUAGGUGGCAAGCGUUGUCCGGAUUUAUUGGGCGUAAAGCGAGCGCAGGCGGUUUUUUAAGUCUGAUGUGAAAGCCUUCGGCUCAACCGAAGAAGUGCAUCGGAAACUGGGAAACUUGAGUGCAGAAGAGGACAGUGGAACUCCAUGUGUAGCGGUGAAAUGCGUAGAUAUAUGGAAGAACACCAGUGGCGAAGGCGGCUGUCUGGUCUGUAACUGACGCUGAGGCUCGAAAGUAUGGGUAGCAAACAGGAUUAGAUACCCUGGUAGUCCAUACCGUAAACGAUGAAUGCUAAGUGUUGGAGGGUUUCCGCCCUUCAGUGCUGCAGCUAACGCAUUAAGCAUUCCGCCUGGGGAGUACGGCCGCAAGGCUGAAACUCAAAGGAAUUGACGGGGGCCCGCACAAGCGGUGGAGCAUGUGGUUUAAUUCGAAGCUACGCGAAGAACCUUACCAGGUCUUGACAUACUAUGCAAAUCUAAGAGAUUAGACGUUCCCUUCGGGGACAUGGAUACAGGUGGUGCAUGGUUGUCGUCAGCUCGUGUCGUGAGAUGUUGGGUUAAGUCCCGCAACGAGCGCAACCCUUAUUAUCAGUUGCCAGCAUUAAGUUGGGCACUCUGGUGAGACUGCCGGUGACAAACCGGAGGAAGGUGGGGAUGACGUCAAAUCAUCAUGCCCCUUAUGACCUGGGCUACACACGUGCUACAAUGGAUGGUACAACGAGUUGCGAACUCGCGAGAGUAAGCUAAUCUCUUAAAGCCAUUCUCAGUUCGGAUUGUAGGCUGCAACUCGCCUACAUGAAGUCGGAAUCGCUAGUAAUCGCGGAUCAGCAUGCCGCGGUGAAUACGUUCCCGGGCCUUGUACACACCGCCCGUCACACCAUGAGAGUUUGUAACACCCAAAGUCGGUGGGGUAACCUUUUAGGAACCAGCCGCCUAAUAGAGUCACCAGUCAAGC